UAGCGUGAUGCAGCCAUGCCGCGUGAGUGAUGAAGGUCUUAGGAUUGUAAAAUUCUUUCACCGGGGACGAUAAUGACGGGACCGGGAGAAGAAGCCCCGGCUAACUUCGUGCCAGCAGCCGCGGGAAUGCGAAGGGGGCUAGCGUUGCUCGGAAUUACUGGGCGUAAAGGGAGCGUAGGCGGACUGUUAAGUUAGAGGUGAAAGCCCAGGGCUCAACCUUGGAAUUGCCUUUGAUACUGGCAGUCUUGAGUACGGAAGAGGUAUGUGGAACUCCGAGUGUAGAGGUGAAAUUCGUAGAUAUUCGGAAGAACACCAGUGGCGAAGGCGACAUACUGGUCCGUUACUGACGCUGAGGCUCGAAAGCGUGGGGAGCAAACAGGAUUAGAUACCCUGGUAGUCCACGCCGUAAACGAUGAGUGCUAGUUGUCGGCAUGCAUGCAUGUCGGUGACGCAGCUAACGCAUUAAGCACUUCGCCUGGGGAGUACGGUCGCAAGAUUAAAACUCAAAUGAAUUGACGGAA
rnacentral:rRNA from 1 species